AAAUAACCUCUUCACCUAUUGCCUCAACACCAAUAGAAGUAGCUGUUUGUGAGGACCGAGUGCCAUACCUUCUCUUUUCAAUAAUUACAUAAACUUGUGAGCACGAAUUAAUUUUCAAUCUCAUCUUGAGUUAGGUCUACAUAGGGAUUGGCAUCCCUUGGAUCAUCAGCAUUAAUACUAAUGAUUGUUGGCUUAGAAGAUGUAGCAAGAAAACAACCUCUGGGCUUAUAUCUACAUUUAUUUUGUGUUCAACACAAACUUCCAUGGAAUCCUUUCCCUUGACUACCUCCAACUUUCCCAAUACAUCCUUGCCACAGUUAAAAGAUUUCGAGCUACUUUUGAAGCUCUAUCUGGGCACUAACUUGUAGAAUUUGGUAUAAUUUUUGUAUCUUCGUUAUUCCAUCGUAUCCUCUAUCUUUGUUAUACUCAUCCU
rnacentral:lncRNA from 1 species